rnacentral:rRNA from 1 species
GAUGAACGCUGGCGGCGUGCCUAAUACAUGCAAGUCGAGCGAACAGAUGAGGAGCUUGCUCCUCUGACGUUAGCGGCGGACGGGUGAGUAACACGUGGAUAACCUACCUAUAAGACUGGGAUAACUUCGGGAAACCGGAGCUAAUACCGGAUAAUAUAUUGAACCGCAUGGUUCAAUAGUGAAAGACGGUUUUGCUGUCACUUAUAGAUGGAUCCGCGCCGCAUUAGCUAGUUGGUAAGGUAACGGCUUACCAAGGCAACGAUGCGUAGCCGACCUGAGAGGGUGAUCGGCCACACUGGAACUGAGACACGGUCCAGACUCCUACGGGAGGCAGCAGUAGGGAAUCUUCCGCAAUGGGCGCAAGCCUGACGGAGCAACGCCGCGUGAGUGAUGAAGGUCUUCGGAUCGUAAAACUCUGUUAUUAGGGAAGAACAAAUGUGUAAGUAACUCUGCACGUCUUGACGGUACCUAAUCAGAAAGCCACGGCUAACUACGUG